rnacentral:rRNA from 1 species
GACGAACGCUGGCGGCGUGCUUAACACAUGCAAGUCGAACGGAAAGGCCCUGCUUUUGUGGGGUGCUCGAGUGGCGAACGGGUGAGUAACACGUGAGUAACCUGCCCUUGACUUUGGGAUAACUUCAGGAAACUGGGGCUAAUACCGGAUAUGAGCUCCUGCUGCAUGUUGGGGUUUGGAAAGUUUUGGCGGUUGGGGAUGGACUCGCGGCUUAUCAGCUUGUUGGUGGGGUAGUGGCUUACCAAGGCUUUGACGGGUAGCCGGCCUGAGAGGGUGACCGGCCACAUUGGGACUGAGAUACGGCCCAGACUCCUACGGGAGGCAGCAGUGGGGAAUAUUGCACAAUGGGCGGAAGCCUGAUGCAGCAACGCCGCGUGCGGGAUGACGGCCUUCGGGUUGUAAACCGCUUUCGCCGGUGACGAAGCGUGAGUGACGGUAAUGGGUAAAGAAGCACCGGCUAACUACGUG